rnacentral:rRNA from 1 species
GCGGGAAGAGCUCAAAUUUGUAAUCUGGCGUCCUCCGGGCGUCCGAGUUGUAAUCUAUAGAGACGUUUUCCGUGCCGGACCGUGUCCAAGUCCCUUGGAACAGGGUAUCAAAGAGGGUGACAAUCCCGUACUUGACACGACGACCGGUGCUCUGUGAUACGUUUUCUACGAGUCGAGUUGUUUGGGAAUGCAGCUCAAAAUGGGUGGUAAAUUCCAUCUAAAGCUAAAUAUAGGCGAGAGACCGAUAGCGAACAAGUACCGUGAGGGAAAGAUGAAAAGCACUUUGGAAAGAGAGUUAAACAGUAUGUGAAAUUGUUGAAAGGGAAACGAUUGAAGUCAGUCAUGUCCAUUGGAUUCAGCUGGUUCUGCCAGUGUAUUUCCUUUGGACGGGUCAACAUCAGUUUGAGCCGGCGGAUAAUGGCAGAGGGAAUGUGGCACCCCCGGGUGUGUUAUAGCCCUUUGUCGCAUACGUCGGCCCAGACUGAGGAAUGCAGCUCGCCUUUAUGGCCGGGGUUCGCCCACGUACGAGCUUAGGAUGUUGGC